AAUGCCCUUUGGAAAGGGCUCUUAGCUUUUGGGAUGAGGUGGUGUUUGAAGGUGCCCAUCUGGACCUGCAGGGUGAAUCAGCUUCUGGAUGGCAGCAAGGCUGAGUGUGAAGGAAACCAGCACUUGGGCCACUGCAGGGAGAGCUGGGGGCUCCAAUCACAGCAGCUGGACUUGGCUGAGCACGAGAGCAGGAGGGGGAACAGAAAAUGCAAUCUGCAGAAAGCAACAGCCCAAUGACCUUGAGGUGCACAAAAAAGGCGCAAGGGGAGGCAAAAACAGCACACAGACAUCAGAUCAGCUUCUCCCUUCCCAAAACUGCAGAUAAUGUUUAUGUCUUCAGGGAAGAUUAGCAGCAGCAAGUCCAGUCCAGGAGGCUGCAUCUAGCAUUGGGAAGGUCUGGUCAGAUACUUCCUGCAGCCCUGAGUUCCCAGUCUGCCCCAGGAGACCCACAGGCUUCCAGUAACAGCUCAUCCUGUAUCCAUGGACACUCGUGAUCCUCAGCUGCUCAUCAUCCCUGCAAACCUGAUCAUGCCUUUGGGCUGAGACACAGCACCUCUGCAGCCAGGGCAGUGCCACACAGACUGUGUCGCAGUCACAGAGACCUGGAGAAGCUGAGCACGGCAGGACAGGCAAUUACUUCAGGCAGCUUUCCAGCAGGAGAACUGGUGAAGCCAGCCCACUCACCUCAUCUUGGCCAAAUGACAGGUAAAUGUUGUCAGCCCACCUACCUCCAGGUACUUAGGCAACCCAGGGACCUCUGGACUUGCUGCUCCAUCUCUCCUUUACAGACAGGGAACAGAGAGACUGAACCAUUUGCAAGUGAACUGUUCAAGGUCUCUGUGCUCCAGCAC